AUUCAGACCUUGAACUCUUGAAGGAGAGAGCUGACUGGUAGCCAAGAAUGGUUUUGUUUUCCUCUGUUUCUUGCUUUUUGUGGGGAGAGGCAGCCAGCAGAACUGUUAUCUCAGCAAUGCAGCAACAGUUGAGACUAGCACAGUGCUGGGGGUGGAAAGGAUGAUGGCCAUAGUGCUGGUCACGGUGAGGGCAGCAGCAACUGUGGCACAGAGCAGGGCCAGGCGCCAGGGCCGGCUGCUGGUGGGGCCCCAGAGGAGCGCAGUGUGCACAGGGCCAUCGUCGGUACCAUAUUAGUGUCAGAGUUCACCCAAGUUCCAGAGGAGGCUGGCCUGAUCAUCAGCUGGGCUACGUGGAGACCUGGUGCUCCUUCAUAGCAAGUGACCUUGGGCCCAACUCUGAAUUCAGCCACACGAACACUGCCUGUGAAGCACUGGCAGGUCAGUCUGCUUCCACUGGCUUCUCUUUUCAUUUCUUCCACAGUCACACACAGAGCCUUGAUUCAAGCUUCUAGGAAUUAAUAAAGGAAGAGACAAACAUUAGCCUUACCAAGAUUCUAAUUAACUUUGAUGUGGAUUUAUGUGUAAAGUUGGAUGAGUCACUGAUUUUUAAUAAAUGAGAGAGAAAAAUCUUAAAGAUUAAUGUAAUAGCUGGGAACACAGGAGCGAGAACUUUGAUGCUUGCUUAAUUCUUCUCCCCAACCCACAUCAUUUGGAGGAAAAAAUAUCAAAGAACUUUACAAAGGGUGGAAG
rnacentral:lncRNA from 1 species